rnacentral:rRNA from 1 species
UACGUAGGGGGCAAGCGUUGUCCGGAAUCAUUGGGCGUAAAGCGCGCGUAGGCGGCCCGGUAAGUCCGUUGUGAAAGUCAAAGGCUCAACCUUUGAAUGCCGAUGGAUACUGCCGGGCUCGAGUCCGGAAGAGGCGAGUGGAAUUCCUGGUGUAGCGGUGGAAUGCGCAGAUAUCAGGAGGAACACCAAUAGCGAAGGCAGCUCGCUGGGACGGUACUGACGCUAAGGCGCGAAAGCCAGGGGAGCAAACGGG